CAGACUUGGUGGGCGGCCUCCGUGUGCCAAAAAUAGGCCACGGGCACAGCCGCACCCAAAAAUCAGCCCCCCAAGGUCAGGGUCCCAAGACCCCCCAGCGGAAAAAUGGCCAAAAAAUGGGUGGGCUAUAGCCUAUGUGGGGGGCGUGGGCGAAGUUCGUCCGCGGGACUCGGAAUGGCCCCAGACUUGGCGGGCGGCCUCCGUGUGCCAAAAAUAGGCCACAGGCACAGCCGCGCCCAAAAAUCAGCCCCCGAAGGUCGGGGUCCCAAGACCCCCCAGCGGAAAAAUGGCCGAAAAACGGGUGGGCUAUAGCCUUGGUGGGGGGCGUGGGCGAAGUUCGUCCGCGGGACUCGGAAUGGCCCCAGCCUUGGCGGGCGGCCUCCGUGUGCCAAAAAUAGGCCACGGGCACAGCCGCGCCCAAAAAUCAGCCCCCGAAGGUCGGGGUCCCAAGGCCCCCCAGCGGAAAAAUGGCCAAAAAAUGGGUGGGCUAUAGCCUUGGUGGGGGGCGUGGGCGAAGUUCGUCCGCUGGACUCGGAAUGGCCCCAGACUUGGUGGGCGGCCUCCGUGUGCCAAAAAUAGGCCACGGGCACAGCCGCACCCAAAAAUCAGCCCCCCAAGGUCAGGGUCCCAAGACCCCCCAGCGGAAAAAUGGCCAAAAAAUGGGUGGGCUAUAGCCUAUGUGGGGGGCGUGGGCGAAGUUCGUCCGCGGGACUCGGAAUGGCCCCAGACUUGGCGGGCGGCCUCCGUGUGCCAAAAAUAGGCCACAGGCACAGCCGCGCCAAAAAAUCAGCCCCCGAAGGUCGGGGUCCUAAGACCCCCCAGCGGAAAAAUGGCCAAAAAACGGGUGGGCUAUAGCCUUGGUGGGGGGCGUGGGCGAGGUUCGUCCGCCGGACUCGGAAUGGCCCCAGCCUUGGCGGCCGGCCUCCGUGUGCCAAAAAUAGGCCACGGGCACAGCCGCGCCCAAAAAUCAGCCCCCGAAGGUCGGGGUCCCAAGACCCCCCAGCGGAAAAAUGGCCAAAAACCGGAUGGGCUAUAGCCUUGGUGGGGGGCGUGGACGAAGUUCGUCCGCGGGACUCGGAAUGGCCCCAAACUUGGCGGGCGGCCUCCGUGUGCCAAAAAUAAGCCACGGGCACAGCCGCGCCCAAAAAUCAGCCCCCGAAGGUCGGGGUCCCAAGACCCCCCAGCGGAAAAAUGGCCAAAAAACGGGGGGGCUAUAGCCUAUGUGGGGGACGUGGCCGAAGUUCGUCCGCGGGACUCGGAAUGGCCCCAGACUUGGCGGGCGGCCUCCGUGUGCUAAAAAUAGGCCACGGGCACAGCCGCGCCCAAAAAUAAGCCCCCGAAGGUCGGGGUCCCAAGACCCCCCAGCAGAAAAAUGGCCAAAAAACGGGUGGGCUAUAGCCUAUGGGGGGGGCGUGGGCGAAGUUCGUCCGCGGGACUCGGAAUGCCCCAGACUUGGCGGGCGGCCUUCGUGUGCCAAAAUAGGCCACGGGCACAGCCGCGCCCAAAAUCAGCCCCCGAAGGUCGGGGUCCCAAGACCCCCCAGCGGAAAAAUGGCCAAAAACCGGAUGGGCUAUAGCCUUGGUGGGGGGCGUGGACGAAGUUCGUCCGCGGGACUCGGAAUGGCCCCAAACUUGGCGGGCGGCCUCCGUGUGCCAAAAAUAAGGAAGGGGCCAGCCGCGCCCAAAAUCAGCCCCCGAAGGUCGGGGUCCCAAGACCCCCCUUUGGAAAAAUGGCCAAAAAACGGGGGGGCUAUAGCCUAUGUGGGGGACGUGGCCGAAGUUCGUCCGCGGGACUCGGAAUGGCCCCAGACUUGGCGGGCGGCCUCCGUGUGCCAAAAAUAAGCCACGGGCACAGCCGCGCCCAAAAAUCAGCCCCCGAAGGUUGGGGUCCCAAGACCCCCCAGCGGAAAAGUGUCCAAAAAACGGGUGGGCUAUAGCCUUGGUGGGGGGCGUGGGCGAAGUUCGUCCGCCGGACUCGGAAUGGCCCCAGACAUGGCGGCCGGCCUCCGUGUGCCAAAAAUAGGCCACGGGCACAGACGCACCCAAAAAUCAGCCCCCGAAGGUGGGGUCCCAAGACCCCCCAGCGGAAAAAUGACGAAAAACGGGUGGGCUAUAGCCUUGGUGGGGGGCGUGGGCGAAGUUCGUCCGCGGGACUCGGAAUGGCCCCAGCCUUGGCGGGCGGCCUCCGUGUGCCAAAAAUAGGCCACGGGCACAGCCGCGCCCAAAAAUCAUCCCCCGAAGGUCGGGGUCCCAAGGCCCCCCAGCGGAAAAAUGGCCAAAAAAUGGGUGGGCUAUAGCCUUGGUGGGGGGCGUGGGCGAAGUUCGUCCGCUGGACUCGGAAUGGCCCCAGACUUGGUGGGCGGCCUCCGUGUGCCAAAAAUAAGCCACGGGCACA
rnacentral:lncRNA from 1 species